ensembl:lncRNA
UUGUGGUUAUUUUGGGGUAAUAUUCCUGCUCCACUUCAAGAAGUCCAGCUUCACGGCCAGUCUCGAGGAUGCCAUGGCUCUGAUGCUGGACAAUGUGCCAGAAGGAAGGUGAAGAAGGAGCGGGGCUUUGGCUGUGAAGGCCAUAGGUUGUAGGCCUGCCUGUUUCCUCCCUUGUGUCUCAGUUUGCUGUUUGCAAAAUGCAAGUUGUAGCUCUUCUGUGUCUCACAGGCACACUGUGAGGAUAAAUGUAUUAAAGAUGUGCAGUAGUCGUGGUCCACAUCGGGGCAAGAAGUCUUAGGGAAGAUAAAUACGUCUGUAGACACCAAGUAGUCUCUUUCUUUGAUGCUUUAACACUUUUGUGGCCAAAAAAGGAAUGUCGAGUUGUACAAAGGCUGUCUGGCAGCUCUAAUAUUAGCAUCCACACUGGAGCCGCUUCUUGGAGGCGACGCCUGUUUGCAUCUCUGCGUGGUGCUGAUGCUGCUGAUAACAUUCUUACGUCUGAUGAACCAAGCUGCUAUAAGCUCGGUCUGUGCAUGUCAGUGAACCGGCUGGCAGAAAUGAGACAAAACACAAUUCACUCAUCUGAGAGCGCGAGGAGAGGAAAAAGUCGCCAACAUUUCUGUACAGUGAAAAGAAGUCGUUUAUUCACAGGAAGCGACGAGGGGAAAACCACUACGAUAUGGCUAAGGAACAAAUAUCAUUUAGUGAAGGUGCUGGUGUGGAGUUGUGUUCCCCUUGGUGUUGGCUCAGGCAGGCUCAGAGCUGCUUGUCACCGACGCAGUGAGCACUGCCACCAGCUGAUGCCAGGCUGCCCUGGGGACCAGCAUGGUGACAGCAGCAGUGGGGUAUGGCCGGGCCACCUGCCCCCCUCCCACUUCUUACCCCUGGGCUCUUACUCAGGCUGCCUCAGGACAAGGAAGUACGCCCAGCACUACACAAAGAAGUUAGAAGAGCAUUCGGACCCAGACCAGCCAAAGCUCAUGACUAUUUCCAAGUCAUAGGCAUAGCAGAAAUGCUAACUCACAGCCUGAAGCAGUGAUUGAGCACCUGGUGGGAAGGCAGGGCCAACCCAGGGGAGCUCAGGUGCAUGCAAUGGAGCUGAGUGACCAGAAGCCAGGAUCCACCCCUUUCCAGACCUCAUUUAAGGGUUGGCAGUGGGGAGGUAAGGGAAUCUUGCUGGAGAUCCCUCUAUGCUAGAGUUCUUUUGGAGGUAAGCAGCUUCUUUUCUUUAUUUUUUGUGGCUAGGGCUGUUGUGUUUGGACAUAUUCUUAUUUGCUGUAGCCUCAGACUGCGCUACCCUGCUGUUGAUACUGUGCUUUCCAUCAGGUUACAAUAGGCUUGGAGAUCAGUAGGAUUGCUCACCUAUUUGUGUUCUGAGAAGUGCCGUGGAUGAGGUUUGUAGGGAGAGGCAAUGCCUUGUGUGAGGGGAACUAAUUUUACUGGGAAAGGAUGGGCAAGUUUUUAUGGAAACAAGUUCUAAGUAUGAGCUCUACUAAAGGUAUUUGCAUCUUGAGCAGAUAAGCGUUUGGGUUUAUGUGGCUCCUUUAGCCUUAGAGCGCCUCAGGCCCAGUUUCCUCCCAGUUGCAGGCAGUUUUCUCACAG